rnacentral:rRNA from 1 species
AGCGAACGUUUGCGGCGGGCCUAACACAUGCAAGUCGAACGGGUCAGGGGGCAACUCCUGACCAGUGGCGCACGGGUGCGUAACACGUGGGUAAUCAACCCUUUGGACUGGGACAACCCGGGGAAACUCGGGCUAAUACCGGAUGUGGCAUAGCGGUCUUCGGGCUGUUAUGCGAAAGCCUCGCAAGGGGCACCAGAGGACGAGCCCGCGGCCCAUCAGCUAGUUGGUGAGGUAAUGGCNCACCAAGGCGAAGACGGGUAGCUGGUCUGAGAGGAUGAUCAGCCACACUGGAACUGAGACACGGUCCAGACUCCUACGGGAGGCAGCAGUGGGGAAUAUUGCGCAAUGGGCGGAAGCCUGACGCAGCCACGCCGCGUGAGCGAUGAAGGUCUUCGGAUCGUAAAGCUCUGUGGGGGAGAAGAAUCAAGCCGGUGAAGAGCCGGCCUGACGGUAUCCCUUUAGCAAGCACCGGCUAACUCCGUGCCAGCCGCCGC